GCCUUCAUGUUGUAACGGUCAGCACACUCGACGUGUAUUCGAGAGGUCCGUGGUUCAAGUCCCAGUGAGGGCG
rfam:Stegodyphus mimosarum contig173626, whole genome shotgun sequence.